UUGAACAGUUCCAUAUUCCUAUUUAGCCCCACCCUCUUGGUGAGAGGUUUUUCUUCUAGGCAUUUAAUAGCUGGCUCAUACAUUUGCCAAAGCAUAGAGCAGGCGGCAAAGAGCUGAGAUAAUAAGGGAUUCCAGCCCCAUGCCUCAAGAUAUCUGAAGUCCUCAGCAGAACAUAUGAACAGGAAAUCAUCCAGCCACACAUUAGGGUGGAGUCCCACAGAGGAAGCAGGAUGUCGCUGUCAUAAGCAGAAUGGAUGAGUCUCUCCCCUGAUGCCGUCGCCUACAUCUGUUCGCAUUUUGUGACGCUGUCAGCACAGGAUCCCAUGGCCGAGCGUGAUCGCAGCAGCCCGGUGAGGAGCCAGGCAAACUAGCCAAACAUCGGAACAUUUAUGUUCUCAAAGGCUCUAGGGUUCAGAAAACAUCUCUUCAGCCUCCAGGAGACUCAGCAAAUCCUCCACGUCCUAAACAAAAACCACAUGCUGGUGAGCUGCUUGGGAACGGAGCAGGCUCAGUGCUUGACUUGUGCCCUGCCUCUUAUCUCAUUUCUGCAGCUGACGUUUAAAGAUAAGGAAGGAAAGUCUCACCGCUUGGAACUGAAACUUUGCCUUGCCCCAGCUGCCCCCGGCAGGGCAGCCACACAAGCCCUCCCUCGCGCAGGGUAUGGCAGUUGUUCUCCUGUGGGACUUGUUAUUUGCCUUUGUUCCAAAGCGCCGCGCCAGGGCAGGAAGUGGGGUUUAGACAGCACCAGAGGGCUGCUGGGAUGAGGGAACAGGGAGCGUUUUGUAUCAGGACAAGGACAAAGAAGUCAAGUGACACAAAAUAUCAACAUGAUUCAAGGGUGGAAGGAAGAGCUGACGAUGAGCCACUUACCGGAGAUAUAUAUGCUUAGGCUCCAUCCCGUUCUCCUGAGGGCUGGGGAGAGACAUGGCAGCUGGAGCCAGGCCCCAUAGAGAACAGCAAUGCAGGCCUGAAUUCUUUUUACAGCUCACCUGGCCGCAGGCUGGGCGUGGGGCAGUGUUGGUUUCCUGCCCUGGAGGGAUCAGUCUUUCAAAAGCUGGUGCUGCCACUUUGCUGGGUGACACAUCAUGAAACAAUUACGGGCGGUUGGAAUGGAUUCCUUCCACACAUCUGAGGAUAGGUACCGUGCCGUGCUCCUGCUUGGUCUAAAACUCUGAACUUCUGGUGUUUCCGGGUGGGAAAAAAGAACGUGACGCAUGGCCAGAAAGGGUUAAACAUCCUGUAGAAUAAAUGACUCAUAUUCAACCCUUAAA